CACUGGGCUAGCCCAUAAGAACCCAGCCUCCAGGCUAGGCCCCAGUUCCAGGCCAGCACCUCUAGCCCCAGGCACCAGGCCAGCCUUCAGACUUAGCCUCCAAAGCAACACCACACACCCAGCCUCUGGGACAGCUCCCAUGGAUCCAGUAUCCAGACCUGCCCCAGCACCAGACUAGCCCAGACUCCAGUAAAUCCAGGGCCCAGGCAAUAGCUCUAAAAAUAUGCUUAACCAAAGAGGUGAAAGAUCUAUACAUUAAAAAUUAUAUAACAUUGAUGAAACAAAUUGAAGAAAACACACACAAAAAAUGAAAGAUACAUUGUGUUCAUGGAUUAGAAGAAUUAAUAUUGUUAAAAUGUCCAUACUGCCCACAGCAAUCUACAAAUUCAACACAACUCCUAUCAAAACUCUCAUGACGUUUUUCACAGAAAUAGAAAAAAAAUCCUAAAGUUAAUAUGGAACCAUAAAAGAUAUCAAAUAACCAAAGCAAUCUUGAGCAAAAACAACAAAGCUGGAGGCAUCACACUGUGUCUGGAAUUGGUGGGUUCUUGGUCUCAUUGACUUCAAGAAUGAAGCUGCAGACCCUCGCGGUGAGUGUCACAGUUCUUAAAGGCGGCAUGUCCGGAAUUUGUUCCUUCGGAUAUUCGGAUGUGUUUGCAGUUUCUUCCUUCUGGUGGGUUUGUGGUCUCACUGGCUUCAGGAGUGAAGCUGCAGACUUUCACGGUGAGUGUUACAACUCAUAAAGGCAGUGUGGACCCAAACAGUGACCAGCAGCAAGAUUUAUUGCAAAGAGCAAAAAAACAAAGCUUCCACAGUGUGGAAGGGGACCCCAGGGGGUUGCCACUGCUGGCUCAGGCAGCCUGCUUUUAU
rnacentral:lncRNA from 1 species